rnacentral:rRNA from 1 species
GCCUCAGUAGCGGCGAGUGAAGCGGCAAAAGCUCAAAUUUGAAAUCUGGUAGYUYUGCUAYCCGAGUUGUAAUUUGUAGAARACUGUCUUUGUWAGGGUGCCUGUCUAAGUUCCUUGGAACAGGACGUCGCAGAGGGUGAGAAUCCCGUGUGAUGGGUGGCCCGARCUUUUAAGRCGUUUUCGAAGAGUCGAGUUGUUUGGGAAUGCAGCUCUAAGUGGGUGGUAAAUUCCAUCUAAAGCUAAAUAUUGGCGAGAGACCGAUAGCGAACAAGUACAGUGAUGGAAAGAUGAAAAGAACUUUGAAAAGAGAGUGAAACAGUACGUGAAAUUGUUGAAAGGGAAGGGUAUUUGAUCCGACAUGGGAUUUACUCAUCAUUGCUCCUUGUGGGUGGUGCUCUGGGUUUUUYCUGGGCCAGAAUCAGUUUGUGUGGCAGGAUAAAGGCKUGRGGAAGUARCUCUUCUGGAGYAAUAUAACYCWUGUUAAURCUGCCUAUGCGGACUGAGGAAUGCG